AGAAUCUCGUCCACAAAAGAUUUUGCUUCAGUCCCUCCCAAGGCAACACAGUCAUUGGUCGUUAUAAGAUGAUGAUGGCGGCAGACGACUGAUCCGCCGAUGCUGACUGCAGCUCAGGGUGCUGUCCCGCAGAGCCCGAGCCCGCUGAAUGGAGGCUGAGAAUAGAGCGCGGCGCCGGAAUGCCUAUAUAUGGAGCACUCAGAGUCGCAGAGGUCGCAAAAGAGGGGGCGUUCCGUACCUGAUGACGUAGUUGCUGCUGCUGAUGGGGACGUCUCCGGGCUGGAGCUGGAGCACCAUGUAGAGCCAAACCCACGUCUGGUCCCGAGCUUGCAGGCGCACGACCAUCUCGGCUCGGCCUUCUCCUCCCUCUCGCACUUUUGGCACUAAGUAGGCUUGGUGUUGCUGUUCCUGCGUACACAUCGUGCGGGUGGAGGAGGCUGUACCAGGAGCAGGCGGAUAACAUGGCCGCGUCGUAGCCCAGAUAAGAGUGCACACUGCCAGGGGACACGGAUGGAAAUGACCGGGUCAGAGCACCUUUCGUUACUGGAUCAACA